UAACACGUGGAUCAUCUGCCUCUUAGUGGGGAAUAACUCUGGGAAACCGGAGCUAAUACCGCAUAAGCCUGGAAAGGGAAAGUCGCAUCAUAAUAAAUGUGACGCUGAGAGAGGAGUCCGCGGCCGAUUAGCUAGUUGGCAGGGUAAAAGCCUACCAAGGCAUUGAUCGGUAGCCGGCCUGAGAGGGCACACGGCCACACUGGCACUGAAACACGGGCCAG
rnacentral:rRNA from 1 species